ACGACUGGUAUUCUAACAAGGACCCAUCAGACACCAUGAAUACUCUUACCUGCUUGGUUCUGGCAGCAUGUGUUGCCCUCGCGGUCAGUGAGACUUGCACCGAUGUCAACUCAUGCACGGACACGACUUGUAAUACAGGAAAGAAAGAAUGUGUCGCAAUACAGGGUCAGCACCUGUGCACGUGCAUUCACAGCAACCAACAUAACGUCGCCUGUACCACCGUCAGCGAUUGCUCUUCUGAUAACUUCAGCUGUGAUCAUCAUGGCGCUAACACACCAUCACACUGUGUAGACAACUUUUGUAGAUGUGAAGGGCAAGGUCAUAACCAUGGCAACCACGGUGACCAUCAUUUUCCUGGAGGACACCAACCAGCCGGAGGACAACAACCCCAAAACUAAGGUAAAAGUCUACAUGCCAACUCGACAAGAAAGUAAAUAAAGUUGUACUUACUUCA